UGAGGAAUAUUGCGCAAUGGGGGCAACCCUGACGCAGCAACGCCGCGUGGGUGAAGAAGGCUUUCGGGUUGUAAAGCCCUGUCAGGUGGGAAGAACCCUUUACAGGUGAAUAGUCUGUAAAGCUGACGGUACCACCAAAGGAAGCACCGGCUAACUCCGUGCCAGCAGCCGCGGUAAGACGGAGGGUGCAAGCGUUGUUCGGAAUCACUGGGCGUAAAGCGCGUGUAGGCGGUUCGAUAAGUCGAGUGUGAAAGCCCGAGGCUUAACUUCGGAAGUGCAUUCGAAACUGUCGAGCUUGAGUACGGGAGAGGGAAGUGGAAUUCCUGGUGUAGAGGUGAAAUUCGUAGAUAUCAGGAGGAACACCGGUGGCGAAGGCGGCUUCCUGGACCGAUACUGACGCUGAGACGCGAAAGCGUGGGGAGCAAACA
rnacentral:rRNA from 1 species